GACGUAGGAGGCGAGCGUUUGUCCGGAUUCAUUGGGCGUAAAGAGCUCGUAGGCGGCUUGUCACGUCGGGUGUGAAAGCCCGGGGCUUAACCCCGGGUCUGCAUUCGAUACGGGCUAGCUAGAGUGUGGUAGGGGAGAUCGAAUUCCUGGUGUAGCGGUGAAAUGCGCAGAUAUCAGGAGGAACACCGGUGGCGAAGGCGGAUCUCUGGGCCAUUACUGACGCUGAGGAGCGAAAGCGUGGGGAGCGAACAGG
rnacentral:rRNA from 1 species